UCCUGACCACGUACCGGUCGUUCUGUAAACCUCAGGAGCUGCUGGGUCUGCUCAUGGAGAGGUUUGAGAUUCCUGAACCUAAACCCACGGAAGCGGAUCAGAUGGCCAUCGAGAACGGAGACCAGCCGCAGAGCGCAGAACUCAAACGCUUCCGCAAAGAGUUCGUCCAGCCGGUGCAGCUCAGGGUGUUGAAUGUGUGCAGGCACUGGGUGGAGCAUCACUU